GGUUUUAUAUUCAAUGAUGAUUUUAAAUUGCAAAUUUAAAGGUGAAGUUAUUCUAAAGCCU
rnacentral:tRNA from 1 species